GCUUUUGUAGUGUAAGUCUAAACACAUUACAUUUUCAAUGUAAAGAUAAGAAUCAAAUUCUUUUAAAGUAC
rnacentral:tRNA from 1 species